rnacentral:lncRNA from 1 species
GUACGAUGUGGAGGAAAAAAAAGCCUCAGAUCAAAGGAAUCAUUUGGUAGGUGCAACCUUCCAGGACCUGUCUGUCAGAAAAGAAAAGGAAGAAAAUUCCCCAGCCAGGCUCCAGAGUCAGUUGGGUGGCAGUGUGGGACAGUGCGUGCAAGAACAAUUGCCUAGAGAAGAUUUAUAAUCUUUUCUGUCUGGGAGGUGUGCUACUAAGAAUGGAUGAAGAUGUACAAAUGAACCUCUAUGAGCACUGUACUGAGGAAAAUGAAA